UCCGUAGGCGGGCAAUUAGGUCAGAGGUGAAAUCCCACAGCUCAACUGUGGAACUGCCUUUGAUACUGGUUGUCUUGAGUUAUAGUGAAGUAGAUAGAAUAUGUAGUGUAGCGGUGAAAUGCAUAGAUAUUACAUAGAAUACCGAUUGCGAAGGCAGUCUACUAACUGUACACUGACGCUAAUGGACGAAAGCGUGGGGAGCGAACAGGAUUAGAUACCCUGGUAGUCC
rnacentral:rRNA from 1 species